AGCAGAACAUCUCCACCAGAAUAGCUUAUCAAAGGAGUGGUGAGGGGCGUGCCCCUCUAUUAGUUUCCCUGGUAACUGAUGAGCCCACCUGACGUCAAUUCCCCUGUAACUGAUAAGUAACCUUCCCAGCUUCCCUGGGAGUAAAGACUGCCGCCAUGUUCGGCCUGUUCGCUGUCUGCAGCACAGGAGGGAGGGCGUUGCUCCAGGACCUCGCUCCAGACAGCUUCUGCUGCAGAAUCCAGACAAGAAAGAAAGUCUUCUAUGCUCUGAAAAGAUGUGAGAAAAUAAAACAUGCUUGGAUUUCAAAGUAAAACACAUCAAGAGUGGCAAGAAAAUCACUAACUUACUUCACUUGUAAUGG